rnacentral:piRNA from 1 species
UGGUUGGGGGUGUUUUUUAGAAGGU